rnacentral:rRNA from 1 species
AGAGUUUGAUCAUGGCUCAGAUUGAACGCUGGCGGCAUGCUUUACACAUGCAAGUCGAGCGGCAGCGGCGGGGGCAACCCUGGCGGCGAGCGGCGAACGGGUGAGUAAUGCAUCGGAACGUGUCCCGUAGUGGGGGAUAACCCGCCGAAAGGCGGGCUAAUACCGCAUAUGCUCUACGGAGGAAAGCGGGGGGACCGCAAGGCCUCGCGCUAUGGGAGCGGCCGAUGUCCGAUUAGCUAGUUGGCGGGGUAAAGGCCCACCAAGGCGACGAUCGGUAGCUGGUCUGAGAGGAUGAUCAGCCACACUGGGACUGAGACACGGCCCAGACUCCUACGGGAGGCAGCAGGUGGGGUAAUUUUGGACAAUGGGGGCAACCCUGAUCCAGCCAUGCCGCGUGCGGGAAGAAGGCCUUCGGGUUGUAAACCGCUUUUAGUCGGGAAGAAAAGGCGCGGGCUAAUACUCCGUGUUCUUGACGGUACCGGCGGAAUAAGCACCGGCUAACUACGUG